CAGCAGGAGAGUGCAAUUCUGUGCUGUGGAAUGUAACACAAGAAUAUGACAGUAGCUACUGAGCUGGUGAUGGGAAACAUGCAAAGAAAUGUCUACCAUUCCACCUGUGGUAAACAGCAGCUUCCCAGUGUCUCACUGAAUGUUACAUCCAUUUGCAAGACCAUUUGAUGGAGAUGUUCGAGACCAAAAAGGGAACUUUCUGAUGGCCUUACCAGGAUUGGCUGCCAAGGAAAUGGUGUCAAAAUGACCCAGAGAUAGCAAGAACUGCAGAGCUGGAGCCAGAGACAGUACAGUAUGGAGCUGGAGGAACACAGCAGGCCAGGCAUCAUCAGAGGAGCAGGGAAGCUGAUGUUUCGGGUUGGGACCCCUCUUCAGAAAUGACCGCCUUAAUUUGAAUUUGUAAUAUUUCUGUUUUGUAUUAAACAACGAUUUGCCAGUAAA